GCUGAGGUCUAUUCCAAUGGGCUCUCUCUGUAGACCCACAUUCUUGGAAAUGCCUCACAGAGGAAUGUGGCAGCUCAGCUUUACUCACAGAACUGCUUGUUAGAUUUGUGAGAAGGAACUAUAAGAUCAUU
rnacentral:snoRNA from 1 species